UGGGGGCACACGUAUAUAUCUUUCCAGCCAUCUCAUUCUUGAGCAUAGUGUGCCAUAUCAAUGGCUAAGAUUAAAUCCAGUUGAGGGUCAAGAUGCUGCCAUGUAUCUCAUUAUUUGAGAGACUAAAUUAUACAUUCACCUAGAUAGUUCCGAAAAUCCCCAAUCUUUGUCUGAAAAUCAGCUCUUCUUUCCCUUCUUCUCUUUCCCUUUCUUUCUCUCAUCGAUUGAACACUCAAAACCAAAGCUUUCUUCCUUCUUCUCUACACUCUCCCUCAAGUUGGAGGGGAGAGAAUGGACCCCCAACUUGUGCAAGAUGAGAUUAUGUGAAGCUCCUGGUAGAGGUUUGGUAAAAAGAUCGCGAGCUGAUGGUGAGAAAGGACAAAGGAAAGGUUAAUUAGCCCGGAGAGAUAUUGUUGGCGGACAAAGUCCCAUUCGAGCUCAACAUACUUUCUUUGCUUGUGAAAAACAGGGUUACAGGCGAUAUGUAUAGCUGUUUGGCUGUCGGAGUGAACCGGAAUAGGAAGUGAAGAUGGAGAAGACAGAUCUGCGAGAAGGCGAACCAACCAGGUAAUUUCUGCGGUAACUCUUCUCAUAUACCUAUACUCUGUUUCUGCAGAGGAAAGGGAUAUUGAUGCUUGAUUUUUCGAUUUUCAGGAAAUUUGGUGCUCCACCAAGCACGAUAAAGAACCCACUGACGGACCUCCGAGAAUCUUUGCAAGCUGACCAGUCAAAAUCACAAAAAGCUAUCAAAUCGAAUGAAGGGUAAGAAGAUAGAAAAAUACCCUGUGAAGGAUCUGCAGAGUGAUAGCGUAGAACACACAGGCCAACAAUGAAAUGAGAAAGGCAUGGCCUUUGCAUAAAUUGACUGAGACAAAGCACAACAAAAGACAAAUCAGGGCUAGUAUUUGUGAGAUAAUUGAGUUUGUUCGCCAAAUAUCAAUAAAGAGUGGGAUAUGAAAGAAGAGUCCCAUCAUCAGCACUGAGUUUGGAAUAAGGAUCAAGAGGUCAAGACACUGCCGAACCAGAGAAGUCAAAUUCCUUCAAAAGAUCCAAGGUAAAUUGCAUUUGACUAAUAAUGAACCCAUGUUUUUCUUGAAGAAUUUCCAUCCCUAGGAAAUAAUGAAUGUCUCUUAAGUUUUUAACCUUGAAUUCAGUAUUGAGAAAAGCUGUAAUUUGGUUGUUUCCUUCAAUAUCACUGCUUGUAGGCAGAAUAUCAUCGACAUAAACAACUAUGAUAGAAACUAGAUCUGCAGAUUGUUUGUAGAACAAUGAAUAGUCAUUGAGGGAACUUUAAUAGCCUUUGUAGCUCAAAGCCCCAUCGAGAAUGGAAUACCACUGCCUAAAGGCUUGCUUUAAACCAUACAAUGACUUUCUCAAAAGACAUGCUUUAGUAGGAUCAGGAGGGGAUAGUCCAGCAGGAAAUUUCAUGUAAACUUCUUCUUGCAAGUCUUCGUGUAAAAAGGCAUUGUUCACAUCAAGUUGUGACACAUGCCACCCUUUCUUCACAAUUACUGUUAAGAGUCAUCUAAUUGUGGUCAUUUUCACCACUGGAGAAAAUGUCUCUGAAUAGUCAAUUCCUUCUCUUUGUAUGUUCUCCCUUACUACUAACCUUGCCUUCAACCUUUCUAUAGUACCAUUUGACUUAUGUUUAACUUUGUAACCCCAUUUGCAUGGUAAAACCUUCUUGCCUGGUGGUAAGGUUACCACAUCCCAAGUAUGAUUCAACUCUAGAGUUGCAAUUUCUGCCUCCAUUGCCCUUCUCCAACC
rnacentral:lncRNA from 1 species